rnacentral:rRNA from 1 species
AGUAACACGUGGGUAACCUGCCCAUAAGACUGGGAUAACUCCGGGAAACCGGGGCUAAUACCGGAUAACAUUUUUGAACCGCAUGGUUCGAAAUUGAAAGGCGGCUUCGGCUGUCACUUAUGGAUGGACCCGCGUCGCAUUAGCUAGUUGGUGAGGUAACGGCUCACCAAGGCAACGAUGCGUAGCCGACCUGAGAGGGUGAUCGGCCACACUGGGACUGAGACACGGCCCAGACUCCUACGGACGGGAGGCAGCAGUAGGGAAUCUUCCGCAAUGGACGAAAGUCUGACGGAGCAACGCCGCGUGAGUGAUGAAGGCUUUCGGGUCGUAAAACUCUGUUGUUAGGGAAGA